rnacentral:rRNA from 1 species
CCUGGUGCCAAUGGCGGGUUGGACCCACGCUCAUCCAUCUCGAACUGAGCGGUGAAACGACCCAGCGGCGACGAUAGUGAUUCCGUAGGGAAUUGUCAAAAUAGCUCGGUGCCAGGU